UAGCUCCUCCAUACCACCUUGAAUGUGCCCAAUCUUGGCUCAUCUCAGAAGCUAAGCAGGGUCAGGCCUGGUUAGUACUUGGAUAGGAGACCACCUGGGAAUACGAGAUCUAAGUAUUAC
ensembl:rRNA nuclear encoded rRNA 5S 220